rnacentral:rRNA from 2 species
UAACAAGGAUUCCCCUAGUAACGGCGAGUGAAGCGGGAUGAGCUCAAAUUUGAAAUCUGGCUGGUUUACUAGUCCGAGUUGUAAUUUAAAGAAGCGUUUUCGGUGGCAGCCUGGGUAUAAAUCCUUUGGAAUAGGGUAUCAUAGAGGGUGAGAAUCCCGUCUUUGACCUAGUGCAUGCUACUAUGUGAUACGUUUUCAAAGAGUCGAGUUGUUUGGGAAUGCAGCUCAAAAUGGGUGGUAAAUUUCAUCUAAAGCUAAAUAUUGGCGAGAGACCGAUAGCGAACAAGUACCGUGAGGGAAAGAUGAAAAGAACUUUGAAAAGAGAGUUAAACAGUGCGUGAAAUUGUUGAAAGGGAAACGUUUGACACCAGUCAUGUGGGUGGAAAAUCAGUCUUUUGCAUUGGGGAGUUGUAAAGGUUCGGACCGCAAGGCCGGCUUUUGCUUCAUCUUUGGUGUAAGGGAUGCACUUUUUCAUCUGCAGGUCAACAUCAGUUUCUUUUGCUGGACAAAACUCCGAGAGAAGGUAGCAGCUUAGGCUGUGUUAUAACUCUGGAGCGAUACAGUGAAGGGGACUGAGGUUUUCGCAGCGUGUGCUCUCGGGCAAGGCUGGAUGGGUGCUAUGGGAUCGUUCGGGGUACAAUGCCUGGCAUUUUGCUUCGUGUCUUUUCUAUACUCGCUCAACUCAGCUCUUCCACGCUUAGGAUGUUGACUUAAUGGUUUUAAACGA